CAUAUCAUAUUGAAACACUGGUUCUCAUACGGUCACUGAAGUUAAGCAAUAUUGAGCCUGGUCAGUACCUAGAUGGGUGACUUCUUUGGAAUACCAGGUGCUGUAAG